rnacentral:rRNA from 1 species
AACGAACGCUGGCGGCAUGCCUAACACAUGCAAGUCGAACGAUGCUUUCGGGCAUAGUGGCGCACGGGUGCGUAACGCGUGGGAAUCUGCCUUGGGGUACGGAAUAACUCAGAGAAAUUUGAGCUAAUACCGUAUGAUGUCUUCGGACCAAAGAUUUAUCGCCCUGAGAUGAGCCCGCGUAGGGUUAGCUAGUUGGUGGGGUAAAGGCCUACCAAGGCGACGAUCCUUAGCUGGUCUGAGAGGAUGAUCAGCCACACUGGGACAGAGACACGGCCCAGACUCCUCCGGGAGGCAGCAGUGGGGAAUAUUGGACAAUGGGCGCAAGCCUGAUCCAGCAAGGCCGCGUGAGUUAUGAAGGCCUUAGGGUUGUAAAGCUCUUUUACCCGGGAAGAUAAUGACUGUACCGGGAGAAUAAGCCCCGGCUAACUCCGUGCCAGCCGCCGCGGUAA